rnacentral:lncRNA from 1 species
CAUAUAACUCUUUGUAUAUCCCGAGAUAUGAGCUUUUAGAAUAGGCACAUGUAAUCAGAAAAUUCUGGAGAAAACUGCUCCACCUAUCAUUUUCAAUCGAUCAUAACUUUCCCUACUUAUGUCCAAAUAACAAUUUAUUUAGCUUUCUAGAAACUAGACACGAAGAACUACAACUUUUGGUUUUGAAUCAUCGUAAAAUUCCAGGUAGAUAAAAAGAUAUAGUCCUUCGAAGUACGCUCUAUGAUUCUGUCUAAAGACCUGCUGCUGUAAAUUUCUGCAGUUUUUUUCUUCUUUUCUUUUUGGUCCGAAUUUCAUUCCGUUAACCUUCCGAAAUCC